rnacentral:rRNA from 1 species
UGGUCUUAGCUUGCUAAGGCUGAUGGCGACCGGCGCACGGGUGAGUAACACGUAUCCAACCUGCCGUCUACUCUUGGCCAGCCUUCUGAAAGGAAGAUUAAUCCAGGAUGGCAUCAUGAGUUCACAUGUCCGCAUGAUUAAAGGUAUUUUCCGGUAGACGAUGGGGAUGCGUUCCAUUAGAUAGUAGGCGGGGUAACGGCCCACCUAGUCAACGAUGGAUAGGGGUUCUGAGAGGAAGGUCCCCCACAUUGGAACUGAGACACGGUCCAAACUCCUACGGGAGGCAGCAGUGAGGAAUAUUGGUCAAUGGGCGAUGGCCUGAACCAGCCAAGUAGCGUGAAGGAUGACUGCCCUAUGGGUUGUAAACUUCUUUUAUGAAGGAAUAAAGUCGGGUAUGCAUACCCGUUUGCAUGUACUUUAUGAAUAAGGAUCGGCUAACUCCGUGCCAGCAGCCGCGGUAAUACGGAGGAUCCGAGCGUUAUCCGGAUUUAUUGGGUUUAAAGGGAGCGUAGAUGGAUGUUUAAGUCAGUUGUGAAAGUUUGCGGCUCAACCGUAAAAUUGCAGUUGAUACUGGAUGUCUUGAGUGCAGUUGAGGCAGGCGGAAUUCGUGGUGUAGCGGUGAAAUGCUUAGAUAUCACGAAGAACUCCGAU